rnacentral:tRNA from 1 species
CCUUCGAUAGCUCAGCUGGAAGAGCGGAGGACUGUAGGAGAGUAAUAUCAGUUAUCCUUAGGUCGCUGGUUCGACUCCGGCUCGAAGGA